CCGAUCUGCCUUGGCACUAGAAGCCGAUGAAGGACGUGACUAACGACGAAAUGCUUUGGGGAGCUGUAAGUGAGCAAUGAUCCAGAGAUGUCCGAAUGGGGGAACCCGGCAGGUUAUGCCUGUCACUCAUUACUGUUAAGGUAAUGUAGAGGAAGACGCAGUGAACUGAAACAUCUAAGUAGCUGCAGGAAGAGAAAGCAAAAGCGAUUGCCUUAGUAGCGGCGAGCGAAACGGCAAGAGGGCAAACCGAAGAGUUUACUCUUCGGGGUUGUAGGACUGCAACGUGGACUUAAAGAUUAUAGAAGAACUACCUGGGAAGGUAGGCCAAAGAGAGUAAUAGCCUCGUAUUCGAAAUAGUCUUUAUACCUAGCAGUAUCCUGAGUACGGCGAGACACGAGAAAUCUCGUCGGAAUCUGGGAGGACCAUCUCCCAACCCUAAAUACUCUCUAGUGACCGAUAGUGAACCAGUACCGUGAGGGAAAGGUGAAAAGCACCCCGGGAGGGGAGUGAAAUAGAACCUGAAACCGUGUGCCUACAACAAGUUCGAGCCCGUUAAUGGGUGAGAGCGUGCCUUUUGUAGAAUGAACCGGCGAGUUACGAUAUGAUGCGAGGUUAAGUUGAAGAGACGGAGCCGUAGGGAAACCGAGUCUUAAUAGGGCGCAUUAGUAUCAUGUCGUAGACCCGAAACCAUGUGACCUACCCAUGAGCAGGUUGAAGGUGAGGUAAAACUCACUGGAGGACCGAACCAGGGCACGUUAAAAAGUGCUUGGAUGACUUGUGGGUAGCGGAGAAAUUCCAAACGAACUUGGAGAUAGCUGGUUCUCUCCGAAAUAGCUUUAGGGCUAGCGUCGAUGUUAAGUCUCUUGGAGGUAGAGCACUGUUUGGGUGAGGGGUCCAUCCCGGAUUACCAAUCUCAGAUAAACUCCGAAUGCCAACGAGAUAUAAUCGGCAGUCAGACUGCGAGUGCUAAGAUCCGUAGUCGAAAGGGAAACAGCCCAGACCACCAGCUAAGGUCCCAAAAUAUAUGUUAAGUGGAAAAGGAUGUGGGGUUGCACAGACAACUAGGAUGUUAGCUUAGAAGCAGCUAUUCAUUCAAAGAGUGCGUAAUAGCUCACUAGUCGAGUGACCCUGCGCCGAAAAUGUACCGGGGCUAAAACAUAUUACCGAAGCUGUGGAUACCUUUAUAGGUAUGGUAGGAGAGCGUUCUAUGUGCGAAGAAGGUGUACCGUGAGGAGUGCUGGAGCGCAUAGAAGUGAGAAUGCCGGUAUGAGUAGCGAAAGACAGGUGAGAAUCCUGUCCACCGUAAGACUAAGGUUUCCAGGGGAAGGCUCGUCCGCCCUGGGUUAGUCGGGACCUAAGGAGAGACCGAAAGGUGUAUCCGAUGGACAACAGGUUGAUAUUCCUGUACUAGAGUAUAUAGUGAUGGAGGGACGCAGUAGGCUAACUAAACCAGACGAUUGGAAGUGUCUGGCCAAGCAGUGAGGUGUGAUAUGAGUCAAAUGCUUAUAUCUAUAACAUUGAGCUGUGAUGGGGAGCGAAGUUUAGUAGCGAAGUUAGUGAUGUCACACUGCCGAGAAAAGCUUCUAGCGUUAAUUAUACUCUACCCGUACCGCAAACCGACACAGGUAGUCGAGGCGAGUAGCCUCAGGUGAGCGAGAGAACUCUCGUUAAGGAACUCGGCAAAAUGACCCCGUAACUUCGGGAGAAGGGGUGCUGACUUUAAGUCAGCCGCAGUGAAUAGGCCCAAGCAACUGUUUAUCAAAAACACAGCUCUCUGCUAAAUCGUAAGAUGAUGUAUAGGGGGUGACGCCUGCCCGGUGCUGGAAGGUUAAGAGGAGUGCUUAGCGUAAGCGAAGGUAUGAAUUGAAGCCCCAGUAAACGGCGGCCGUAACUAUAACGGUCCUAAGGUAGCGAAAUUCCUUGUCGGGUAAGUUCCGACCCGCACGAAAGGCGUAAUGAUUUGGGCACUGUCUCAACGAGAGACUCGGUGAAAUUUUAGUACCUGUGAAGAUGCAGGUUACCCGCGACAGGACGGAAAGACCCCAUGGAGCUUUACUGCAGUUUGAUAUUGAGUAUCUGUACCACAUGUACAGGAUAGGUAGGAGCCUAUGACCUCGGGACGCCAGUUUCGAGUGAGGCGUUGUUGGGAUACUACCCUUGUGUUAUGGCUACUCUAACCCAGAUAGGUUAUCCCUAUCGGAGACAGUGUCUGACGGGCAGUUUGACUGGGGCGGUCGCCUCCUAAAAGGUAACGGAGGCGCCCAAAGGU
rnacentral:rRNA from 1 species